rnacentral:tRNA from 1 species
CAGGGUGUAGUUCAAUGGUAGAAUGCUUGAUUUGGGUUCAAGUGGUUGCGAGUUCGAGUCUCGCCUCCCUGA